CUGCACAAACUUGCCUCUGGUAACACGGACCCUCACGUGAGUUCCUGACGAACCUUCAUCAUUGACAGUGAUACUGGAAUCUGCCCUGCACUGCAUAUUGGCCAAGGUCCACCUGUGUGACUUCCUGGAGAGGUACUACUUGGAUGAGCAAGUGAAGAUGAUCAAGAAGCUGGGAGAUCACAUCACCAACCUGAAGAGACUGGGAGCCCCUGAGAAUGGCAUGGGAGAGUACCUGUUUGACAGGCUCACCCUGAGCUGAUGAGUUUGGGAACACUUUAGUGCUCUGAAUGAAGUUGAAAUGUAAACCUGUCCUGCUUUCUCUUCCUGGAUAUAAAAAUAAAUAUCUGUCAAACUGA